rnacentral:rRNA from 1 species
UACAGAGGGUGCGAGCGUUGUCCGGAAUCACUGGGCGUAAAGGGUGCGUAGGUGGUGGGGUAAGUCGGAUGUGAAAUCCCGGGGCUCAACCCCGGAACUGCAUUCGAUACUGCCUUGCUCGAGUACUGGAGAGGAGACUGGAAUUUACGGUGUAGCAGUGAAAUGCGUAGAUAUCGUAAGGAAGACCAGUGGCGAAGGCGAGUCUCUGGACAGUUACUGACACUGAGGCACGAAGGCCAGGGGAGCAAACGGG